CUUGGUCAUUUAGAGGAAGUAAAAGUCGUAACAAGGUUUCCGUAGGUGAACCUGCGGAAGGAUCAUUAAAGAAUUGCCCCAUUUUUUGAAAUGGGUUCUAUUCCCAAACCGUGUAUACAUACCUUUGUUGCUUUGGCAAGCCGUCCUUCGGGCGCAGCUUCGGCUGAGAGCGCUUGCCAGAGGACCCCAACUCUUUUGUUUAGUGAUGUCUGAGUACUAUAUAAUAGUUAAAACUUUCAACAACGGAUCUCUUGGUUCUGGCAUCGAUGAAGAACGCAGCGAAAUGCGAUAAGUAAUGUGAAUUGCAGAAUUCAGUGAAUCAUCGAAUCUUUGAACGCACGUUGCGCCCUGUGGUAUUCCGCAGGGCAUGCCUGUUCGAGCGUCAUUUAACCACUCACGCCUAGCGUGGUAUUGGGGCACGCGGUCUCCGCGGCCCUCAAAAUUAGUGGCGGCGCCGGUGGGCUCUAAGCGUAGUACAUACUCCCGCUAUAGAGUUCCCCCCGGUGGCUCGCCAGAACCCCCAAUUUUUUACAGGUUGACCUCGGAUCAGGUAGGGAUACCCGCUGAACUUAAGCAUAUCAAUAAGCGGAGGA
rnacentral:rRNA from 1 species